GACGAACGCUGGCGGCGUGGAUUAGGCAUGCAAGUCGAACGGUAGGAUACCUUCGGGUAUCUGAGAGUGGCGAACGGGUGAGUAACACGUAGGUGAUCUACCCUCAAGAUUGGGACAACCCAGGGAAACUUGGGCUAAUACCGGAUGAGAGCAGCAGUGAUGUUGUUUGAAAGGUGGCGUAAGCUGCCGUUUGGGGAUGAGCCUGCGCUCUAUUAGUUAGUUGGCGGGGUAAAGGCCCACCAAGGCGAUGAUAGAUAGGCGGCCUUAACGGGUGGUCGCCCACACUGGGAUUGAGAUACGGCCCAGACUCCUACGGGAGGCAGCAGUCGAGAAUAGUCUACAAUGGCCGAAAGGGCUGAUAGUGCGACGCCGCGUGAACGAAGAAGCCCUUCGGGGUGUAAACUGCUUUUGUCAGGGAAGAAAUACUUCUGGGCUAAUACCCCGGGAGGAUGACGGUACCUGAAGAAUAAGCACCGGCUAACUACGUG
rnacentral:rRNA from 1 species